rnacentral:rRNA from 1 species
AGUGAACGCUGGCGGUAGGCCUAACACAUGCAAGUCGAACGGCAGCACAGUAAGAGCUUGCUCUUACGGGUGGCGAGUGGCGGACGGGUGAGGAAUACAUCGGAAUCUACUUUUUCGUGGGGGAUAACGUAGGGAAACUUACGCUAAUACCGCAUACGACCUACGGGUGAAAGCAGGGGAUCUUCGGACCUUGCGCGAUUGAAUGAGCCGAUGUCGGAUUAGCUAGUUGGCGGGGUAAAGGCCCACCAAGGCGACGAUCCGUAGCUGGUCUAAGAGGAUGAUCAGCCACACUGGAACUGAGACACGGUCCAGACUCCUACGGGAGGCAGCAGUGGGGAAUAGUGGACAAUGGGCGCAAGCCUGAUCCAGCCAUACCGCGUGGGUGAAGAAGGCCUUCGGGUUGUAAAGCCCUUUUGUUGGGAAAGAAAAGCAGCAGGUUAAUACCCCGCUGUUCUGACGGUACCCAAAGAAUAAGCACCGGCUAACUUCGUG